UAAAUCCUACUUUAGUAAUUGAAUUAGCAGUUAAAAUGAAUUCUUUUUGAGUGUUGUAUUGAAUAACAUUUCAAUGAGAUAUUUCUUAUAUUUUUAUUGAAAGGAGUAUCUGGUUUUAAUUGGGUCACUUAUGAAGUAGAGCCGUUUCCACAAAGUAAUUACAUUCCUUCAGUGUUUUAAAGAUUUAAAAGAAUUUUUACUACAUAUAUAACUUAGUAUUUUCUCAUGUUUAUUCAGUAAUAGUCAUUUAAAAUUGUUGAUUUUUAAGUUUCAGAGGUUAGUGCUCUCAGAAGAGCUAAGUGAUAUUUCUGGAAGCAGGAGUCAAG
rnacentral:lncRNA from 1 species